GGCAGAGUGGCCGAGUGGUCUAAGACGCUAGUUUCAGGUACUAGUAUCUUUGGAUGCGUGGGUUCGAAUCCCACCUCUGUCA
rnacentral:tRNA from 1 species